CACGUAGGGGGGCAAGCGUUGUCCGGAUUUAUUGGGCGUAAAGAGCUCGUAGGCGGCUCAGUAAGUCGGGUGUGAAACCUCCAGGCUCAACCUGGAGACGCCACCCGAUACUGCUGUGGCUUGAGUCCGGUAGGGGAGCGUGGAAUUCCUGGUGUAGCGGUGAAAUGCGCAGAUAUCAGGAGGAACACCAAUGGCGAAGGCAGCUCUCUGGGACGGUACUGACGCUGAGACGCGAAAGCGUGGGGAGCGAACAGG
rnacentral:rRNA from 1 species